CAUCCGGUUUGCGCAAUUCAACCUCUCUCCGUAUUUUACAUAGGGAUUAAGUGACUGAGGGGAAACGUUUUAUCGAACAUGAUGCAUUGGUAAAUAGAAAAUACAUUGUAAACCAUUGGAGAGAUUAUUUCGAAUGAGUUGCGUUUUUGGGUCCAUUGCGGGCACCAACUGACCGCAGUUGCUUCUCACCUGGGAGCUGGCUCAUGAUGUGUUUCGCGCGCCAUAAGAGGCCGGAGCUAGCAGACCAUGGGAAUCGCAGAAUAGUGUCACAUGAAGUUUCGAUUACAACUCAGACCAAGGGACGCACUAACCGGUCUUGAAGGGAUCGAGACACAUGGAAAACAUCAGGUUAGGUCACCACAUCAACCUUGGAUGGAGGCGAAGUAAG